AGCAGCCGCGGUAAUUCCAGCUCCAAUAGCGUAUAUUAAAGUUGUUGCAGUUAAAAAGCUCGUAGUUGAAUUUCGGGGUUAGUAGGUUGGUCAUGCCUCUGGUAUGUACUGGUCUCACUGAUUCCUCCUUCCUGAUGAACCUUAAUGCCAUUAAUUUGGUGGUUUGGGGAAUUUGGACUGUUACUUUGAAAAAUUAGAGUGUUUAAAGCAAGCUAACGCUUGAAUACAUUAGCAUGGAAUAAUGAAAUAGGACGUUCGAUCCUAUUUUGUUGGUUUCUAGGAUUGACGUAAUGAUUAAUAGGGAUAGUUGGGGGCAUUAGUAUUCAAUUGUCAGAGGUGAAAUUCUUGGAUUUAUUGAAGACUAACUACUGCGAAAGCAUUUGCCAAGGAUGUUUUCAUUAAUCAAGAACGAAAGUUAGGGGAUCGAAGACGAUCAGAUACCGUCGUAGUCUUAACCAUAAACUAUGCCGACUAGGGAUCGGAUGAUGUUAAUUUUUAAUGACUCAUUCGGCGCCUUACG
rnacentral:rRNA from 1 species